UACGGAGGGGGCUAGCGUUGUUCGGAAUUACUGGGCGUAAAGCGCACGUAGGCGGCUUUGUAAGUUAGAGGUGAAAGCCCGGGGCUCAACUCCGGAAUUGCCUUUAAGACUGCAUCGCUAGAAUUGUGGAGAGGUAAGUGGAAUUCCGAGUGUAGAGGUGAAAUUCGUAGAUAUUCGGAAGAACACCAGUGGCGAAGGCGACUUACUGGACACAUAUUGACGCUGAGGUGCGAAAGUGUGGGGAGCAAACAGG
rnacentral:rRNA from 1 species